rnacentral:rRNA from 1 species
UUAAGUCCCGCAACGAGCGCAACCCUCACUUUUAGUUGCCAUCAUUUAGUUGGGCACUCUGAAAGAACUGCCAGUGAUAAGCUGGAGGAAGGUGGGGAUGACGUCAAGUCCUCAUGGCCCUUACGUGUUGGGCUACACACGUGCUACAAUGGUAUCUACAAAAGGAUGCAAAAUGGCGACAUUAAGCAAAUCCUUAAAAGAUACCUCAGUUCGGAUUGCACUCUGCAACUCGAGUGCAUGAAGCUGGAAUUACUAGUAAUCGUGGAUCAGCGUGCCACGGUGAAUACGUUCCCGGGUCUU